rnacentral:misc_RNA from 1 species
AUACACACUAAUUGCUUGUGUGACUGGUUUUGCUUGCUGCUACUCAUGCUUCUAUAGAGCAAAAAUGAGGCAGCAACACUCCUUGAAGCAGAGCCCUUGUGGGGAUUGUUUGGUUCAUUUCUGUUGCGAGUAUUGCGCCUUGUGCCAAGAAUAUCGAGAGCUGAAAAGCCGUGGAUAUGACUUGUCUAUAGGAUGGCAUGGUAACGUGGAGAAAAAGAACCAUAGCCUGGAGAUGGCUUCGGUGCCACCAGCGGUGGAAGGAGGCAUGAGCAGAUAGAUUGGGAGAUUUGAGCCUUGUUCAUGACCUAGUAAACAUUUGUGUGGUGAAGAUCAUUGUCGUUUACUGUUAAAUGUUCUCCAUUAAUAUCUAAUCUCAAUUGUAGCUGAUUAGAAAAGGGAUGUACUAUCCCUUAAUUAAUCUUUUUUUGUGUAUUAAAACCAUUAUACUUUUUAAUAGACAAAAAAUAUAUAAUAUCUGUGUAAAAUAAGCUGCAAUA